UACGUGAGGGUGCGAGCGUUAAUCGGAAUUACUGGGCGUAAAGCGCGCGUAGGCGGCUUUGCAAGUCGGGUGUGAAAUCCCCAGGCUUAACCUGGGAACUGCAUCUGUGACUGCAUUGCUGGAGUGCGGCAGAGGGGGAUGGAAUUCCGCGUGUAGCAGUGAAAUGCGUAGAUAUGCGGAGGAACACCGAUGGCGAAGGCAAUCCCCUGGACCUGCACUCGACGCUCAUGCACGAAAGCGUGGGGAGCAAACAGG
rnacentral:rRNA from 1 species